rnacentral:misc_RNA from 1 species
UCCGGUUUAUCACCAGCAGUCUCCUUAAAGUUCCCACCAUUACGUGCUGGCAAAUAAGGACAAGGGUUGCGCUCGUUACGGGACUUAACCCAACAUUUCACAACACGAGCUGACGACAGCCAUGCAGCACCUGUCUCAAAGUUCCCUAAGGCACCCUUUCAUCUCUGAAAAGUACUUUGGAUGUCAAGAGUAGGUAAGGUUCUUCGCGUUGCAUCGAAUUAAACCACAUGCUCCACCGCUUGUGCGGGCCCCCGUCAAUUCAUUUGAGUUUUAGCCUUGCGGCCGUACUCCCCAGGCGAUCAACUUAUCGCGUUAGCUACGCCACCAAAUUCUUUAAUAAUCCAACGGCUAGUUGAUAUCGUUUACAGCGUGGACUAC